rnacentral:rRNA from 1 species
GUGUCAGCCGCCGCGGUAAUACGUAGGUGGCAAGCGUUGUCCGGAUUUAUUGGGCGUAAAGCGAACGCAGGCGGGAGAAUAAGUCAGCUGUGAAAGCCCUCAGCUUAACUGAGGAAGAGCAUCGGAAACUGAAAGACUUGAGUGCAGAAGAGGAGAGUGGAACUCCAUGUGUAGCGGUGAAAUGCGUAGAUAUAUGGAAGAACACCAGUGGCGAAGGCGGCUCUCUGGUCUGUUACUGACGCUGAGGCUCGAAAGCAUGGGUAGCGAACAGGAUUAGAUACCCUGGUAGUCCAUGCCGUAAACGAUGAGUGCUAAGUGUUGGGAGGUUUCCGCCUCUCAGUGCUGCAGCUAACGCAUUAAGCACUCCGCCUGGGGAGUACGACCGCAAGGUUGAAACUCAAAUAAAUUGGCGG